CUUAUGAUGGCGACCGGCGCACGGGUGCGUAACGCGUAUGCAACCUACCUUUUACAGGGGCAUAACACUGAGAAAUUGGUACUAAUUCCCCAUAAUAUCUGAGACGGCAUCGUUUGGGUUGAAAACUCCGGUGGUAAAAGAUGGGCAUGCGUUGUAUUAGCUAGUUGGUGAGGUAACGGCUCACCAAGGCGACGAUACAUAGGGGGACUGAGAGGUUAACCCCCCACAUUGGUACUGAGACACGGACCAAACUCCUACGGGAGGCAGCAG
rnacentral:rRNA from 1 species